CCUACACAGUGAUUAUGGGUAUUGGUACUUUAGGCUCAAUCUAGACCUGGGUUCAAAUCUCAGUUAUUUCACUGAUUAGGCUUAACUUUAGUUAAGUCUUUUACUUUCUGUGUCCUCAAUUGUAAAAUUGGAAUAAUAUCUGUGCCUUUAGGUUGCUAGGAGAAAUGAAUGAAAUGAUACAAGUAAGGUAGAAAGCAGAGUGCUUUCUACAAGCCAAGAAGUGGCCCCCCAACAGAUACCAAGCUCUGGACCUCCUGGUGC
rnacentral:lncRNA from 1 species